rnacentral:rRNA from 1 species
UACGUAGGGUGCAAGCGUUGUCCGGAAUUAUUGGGCGUAAAGAGCUCGUAGGCGGUCUGUCGCGUCUGCUGUGAAAACUCAGGGCUUAACCCUGAGCUUGCAGUGGGUACGGGCAGACUAGAGUGCGGUAGGGGAGACUGGAAUUCCUGGUGUAGCGGUGAAAUGCGCAGAUAUCAGGAGGAACACCGGUGGCGAAGGCGGGUCUCUGGGCCGGUACCGACGCUGGAGGAGCGAAAGCCGUGGGGAGCGAACAGG